rnacentral:rRNA from 1 species
GACGUAGGGGGCCAGCGUUGUUCGGAAUUACUGGGUGUAAAGGGUUCGUAGGCGGUGCGGCAAGUUGGGAGUGAAAUCUCUGGGCUUAACCCAGAGGCUGCUUCCAAAACUGCUGUGCUUGAGUGUGGGAGAGGCGCGUGGAAUUGCAGGUGUAGCGGUGAAAUGCGUAGAUAUCUGCAGGAACACCAAUGGCGAAGGCAGCUCGCUGGGACGGUACUGACGCUGAGACGCGAAAGCGUGGGGAGCAAACAGG